AAAGCUUUAAGUUAAAACAAACUAUUAACCUUCAAAGUUAAAAAUACAACCCAUGUAAGCUUUA
rnacentral:tRNA from 2 species